CCGAAUGGGGAAACCCAGUGUGAUUCGUCACACUAUCAUUAACUGAAUCCAUAGGUUAAUGAGGCGAACCGGGGGAACUGAAACAUCUAAGUACCCCGAGGAAAAGAAAUCAACCGAGAUUCCCCCAGUAGCGGCGAGCGAACGGGGAGGAGCCCAGAGCCUGAAUCAGCAUGUGUGUUAGUGGAAGCGUCUGGAAAGGCGCGCGAUACAGGGUGACAGCCCCGUACACAAAAGCGCAUGUGCUGUGAGCUCGAUGAGUAGGGCGGGACACGUGGUAUCCUGUCUGAAUAUGGGGGGACCAUCCUCCAAGGCUAAAUACUCCUGACUGACCGAUAGUGAACCAGUACCGUGAGGGAAAGGCGAAAAGAACCCCGGCGAGGGGAGUGAAAAAGAACCUGAAACCGU
rnacentral:rRNA from 1 species